rnacentral:rRNA from 1 species
UUGGCAGCGCGAGGACUAGGGUAAUGAUUAAUAGGGAUAGUUGGGGGCAUUAAUAUUUAAUUGUCAGAGGUGAAAUUCUUGGAUUUAUGAAAGAUUAACUUCUGCGAAAGCAUCUGCCAAGGAUGUUUUCAUUAAUCAAGAACGAAAGUUAGGGGAUCGAAGACGAUCAGAUANCGUCGUAGUCUUAACCAUAAACGAUGCCGACCAGCGAUUAGGAGACGUUGAAUACAAAACACCACCAUCGGUGCGGUCGUCCUUGGCGUCGGUCUUUCGGGGCCGGCGCGGGGACGGCUUAGCCC